CUUUAGACAAAUGUGCUAUUGAGAUAUUGAGCCCUUAUGGUAUCUCGUAAACAUUCCGAGGAUAUUAUUAUUUCAUUGAAGAAUUAUAGGAAAGAAACCCCUAGAUAUAUUAACUUGAGCAACAAUAGGGCAAUAAUAGGCGUAGGAAAUACCAAUAGAACUUACGUCGAUCAAAGCAGGAUAUUGGUUAAAAAUUCGUAAUCACCUGAAACCACAUAGGAAAAAGAUAAAAUUAGUUUCACAAAAAAAAAAGAGAUUAAAAUCAUUUCCUGAAUCAUAUUUCAGAAACUUCAACCAUAAAUGAUAAAUUGUUAUUACUGAUAUACUAAUCUAAUAAUGAACAUAAAGAUUAAAAUAUUUUUCCUUCCAGUGUUUUUCCCCAAUUAACUAAGAAGAAUAAAGAUGCUCUAGCAUAUAGUGACAAAUAAAGUUUGAUGUACACAUUGAAAAUUAUCGAAAGGAAGAAAUAAAGUAAAAAUGAAGAUAAAACAAGGAGAUAGAAACAUACCUUCUCUGAUGGAUGAUGAAGGAGUUGGGAAAUUGGAGAGGGUUUGGACUUUGGCGGAUGAAGAGAUAAAACAAGGUGAGGAGCUAGGUUUUGG
rnacentral:lncRNA from 1 species